GUUCCAGACUCUGAACUGUUGAAGGGAAUUGAUCCACAGCUAUUUAUCAUAGCCCUAGUUAUCUAUCCCACCUUGAAGCUAAUCAUUACAGAGUAAAAACUACAAUAUACAGACCAGAUAUCUUUGGAAGAUGAAACAAAUCUAUAAUAUCAAGGGACAAAUCACAUGCCUCAUAAGACUGCUGCUUCUCCCAGGUAAGCUGACAGCACAACUUUUAAUGAGCAUAAUCAGAAAUGAGAUGCCGAUCCUACCUUCAGAAAGGCAGAUCACCAUGAGAAGACGAUUAUUA